rnacentral:rRNA from 1 species
CCCUUAGAUGUCCUGGGCCGCACGCGCGCUACAAUGACUCUCUCAGAAAGUACUAUUUCUCCUGGUCCGGAAGGAAUCAGGGUAAUCUUUGUAAUAAGAGUCGUGUUAGGGAUCGAUCUUUGCAAUUAUAGAUCUUGAACGAGGAAUGCCUAGUAAGUGCAGCUCAUCAGGCUGUGCUGAUUACGUCCCUGCCCUUUGUACACACCGCCCGUCGCUCCUACCGAUUUCGAGUGGUCCGGUGAACCUUCUGGACUGGGGGCGCAAGCCCUCGGGAAGUUAAGUAAACCUUAUCACUUAGAGGAAGGAGAAGUCGUAACA